GCAUAUCAAUAAGCGGAGGAAAAGAAACCAACAGGGAUUGCCUUAGUAACGGCGAGUGAAGCGGCAACAGCUCAAAUUUGAAAUCUGGCCCCCCAGGCCCGAGUUGUAAUUUGUAGAGGAUGCUUCUGGCGACGCGCCUUCCGAGUUCCCUGGAACGGGACGCCAAAGAGGGUGAGAGCCCCGUCCGGUCGUGCGCCUAGCCUCUGUGAAGCUCCUUCGACGAGUCGAGUAGUUUGGGAAUGCUGCUCUAAAUGGGAGGUAUACGUCUUCUAAAGCUAAAUACCGGCCAGAGACCGAUAGCGCACAAGUAGAGUGAUCGAAAGAUGAAAAGCACUUUGAAAAGAGGGUUAAAUAGUACGUGAAAUUGCUGAAAGGGAAGCGCUUAUGACCAGACUUGGGCUUGGUGAAUCAUCCGGCGUUCUCGCCGGUGCACUUUGCCGGUCCAGGCCAGCAUCAGUUCGUCCCGGGGGAUAAAGGCUUCGGGAAUGUAGCUCCUUCGGGAGUGUUAUAGACCGUUGCGUAAUACCCUGGGGUGGACUGAGGUACGCGUUCUGCAAGGAUGCUGGCGUAAUGGUCAUCAGCGACCCGUCUUGAAACACGGACCAAGGAGUCGUCUUCGUAUGCGAGUGUUCGGGUGUCAAACCCCUACGCGUAAUGAAAGUGAACGUAGGAGAGAGCUUCGGCGCAUCUCCGACCGAUCCUGAUGUUCUCGGAUGGAUUUGAGUAAGAGCAUACGGGGCCGGACCCGAAAGAAGGUGAACUAUGCCUGUAUAGGGUGAAGCCAGAGGAAACUCUGGUGGAGGCUCGCAGCGGUUCUGACGUGCAAAUCGAUCGUCAAAUAUGGGCAUGGGGGCGAAAGACUAAUCGACUUCUAGUAGCUGGUUUCCGC
rnacentral:rRNA from 1 species